UCUUAGAUGACUGAGAUAUAAGUGCUAGAUUUUUAAUCUAGAGACGGCAAUAUAAAAUAAUGCCUCUAAGAA
rnacentral:tRNA from 1 species